GAUAUUUUAUUUUAAAUUAGUUUCUAUUUUAUUACUUAUUGUCGAUUUGAACUUUCUAAUAUAAUAAAAGGAUGACUCUGAUUCUGACAUAAAAUAAUGCAAGUUUCCGUAACUGUUGUUUUUUUAUUUGUUAAUUUUAGCUUAUUAUCCAUGUAAACAUGAAAAAGAUAAGACGCAUUUUGUUUAUACUUCGCGUUAAUACGAUUAAUUUUUUAAUUCUAUUCUUUACCAGUUUUUAUCAACGCUGCUGCGUUUAGUUAAUUUGAAUUUUAAAUGCUGACGUAGCGAAACAAUCGAAAGGGCGAAAUAACGAAACUUCAGGCGACUUUGGGUACCAUCCACUCGAAGGUGCACCGAUGAUCUCAACAUCAUACCACUAACUUCGCAACGUGUGCAAAUUUAUCGUCGCUGCUAAUAUCUCAUACUAAAGAAUCUAAGCAAAAUCAGAAUUCUCUGGAGAGCUGAAUAGAGGUCGAGUUUUGCCUAUGAUCCUUGUAUACGAACAAACGGCAGAUGCAUUCCGUUAUACAAAUUUCGAAAAGCGUUAAAUGCCAAACAGAAAGGUUGAACCGCUGCUCUGAUAGUAAAUAAUCCAACUCUAGCUGACGAAUAUGUAGCAAAAAUUUACCCUCCCCCAGAGAAAAAGAAAUGGUAAAAUAUUCACACCUAACACUUAGCACUUAUUCACGAAGUGAACUAAUUCAACUGGUUGUUUUGAGCCAAGUCAAAUUAAUAAACCUGACCAAAGAAAUGAGAGAAAAUGAUGAAUAUAUUGGCCCUCACCGUUAAUGGAACCAUUUUGAAACGUAUUAAUGGCACAGUUUCUACUAGUGUGACGAAUUUCGUGCAAUAAACGAGAGUUGGAGAUUUGCAAAAGUAUUGAUGACAACAAUUGCGAUAGUAAUGGGGUCAUUGUAAAGAAUUGUGAAGAAUUAUAAAACUUUCCUAAAUUUUAUACCAGCCUACAUAAAAAAGUCGAUAGCGUGUUGCAAAGCUGCGGUGUUUUCUGAUGAAAAUUAUCGUUAACAGCAGAAAGUGUAGCGAACCACGUUAACAACUCUGCCGACCAUCCAUGUUUAGCGUGGAUUGAAGAUAAAACACUUGAAAACACCUUUUGGAAGUAACCAGCACAUAUAAAUCUGAGACGAUCCAAUUGAAGAACGCGAGAAUCAACCAAAUUAAAAGCACCAUUGCAAGCCUUGCAGCUAAAUAAAUUUUGAAUUAUACUUUCUGAACUAAACAACAAGAGACGAAUGACUGUACUAAUGCAGUGCCGCAAAUUUUAAUUGGAACGCCUUAAACAAAUAUAAUGCGUCUAGUAAAAGUUCAUAACCUCCACGAAAGUUUCCUUGUACACCUAUCUAAAGAAAGAAGGAAUUCCUUUCUAAAGGAGUCAUCACGACCAGUUCACGAACAAUUCGCCUAGAGUUGAACUACAUAUCCUGACGCUAGUAAAACCGUCCUCUCAGCUAUAGCUUCCUGGAAAAACGUUUACGCGUAUAACGUUUACGUUGUCUUUGUUAUUGGAAAAUCUAAACGCCCUUUAAAACACCCCCUAUUCCUAGAUAGGAAUUACUUGUUGUGAUACUGCGAGUGGGCCUAAAUUACACUAUGUUAAGAAAUUACUAUGUAAAGCUUUUCCUACAAACAACGGGUUUCAAAUCAAAUAGGGCAAGUCUUCAAAAUUUCCUAUAAUUUGCAAUGCAGAUGGACUCCUGAUGCCUAGAAACUAAUAGAUGACGAAAAUUGGAAAUCCUCCUCAAAUUCACAUUGAUUGUCCGGAUCACUAUUUCUGCAACAAUCCGAACGAAAUUGAUCACAAAGGUGUCUUCGUACAGCCAAUUACGAUUGUGAGGCUGAAAGGCGCUCAAAAACGUUAAACAUAAUUAUCAAAGAACGUUGUAAAACUCCUAUAGAAGAUUUUGCCAAUUACCAGGGUUACCUUUUGGAUUCAACGAGCUAUGAGGAGUUUUCAUUAAAACCAUUAAAACGUGGAAUCUCGUCCCCAACAUUAUCAGCUAUAGAAGGUAAGGACGCCGAAAAACUUAUAUGCCUUAUAACAGUAAGGCCACCGACCGACUUCACAAUUACGCUUUGGAGAGGCUUUUAUAUCAUCAGCGCCAUAAUUAUGAAUACAGUGGAGAGUAUCCUUAGGGAUAAAAAUAUUUUUUGCCAAAAUUUGAUAUUUAUGGAUUUGUAUUUACAUUAAGUAAUAAUAAAAAUUUUAAUAAGGAUGAAAGAUAAUAAAAAUGUUAUAUAAACUAAUAAUAAGAUUUAGAAUAAGUAAUUGAUUAGUACCAUAAUUGAUGAAUGAAUGAGAUGAUAAAAAUAAUGCUUAUCUAA